AUUGAACGCUGGCGGCAGGCUUAACACAUGCAAGUCGAGCGAGCGGCGGACGGGUGAGUAAUGUCUGGGAAACUGCCUGAUGGAGGGGGAUAACUACUGGAAACGGUAGCUAAUACCGCAUACCAUCAGAUGUGCCCAGAUGGGAUUAGCUAGUAGGUGGGGUAAUGGCACACCUAGGCGCCGAGCCCUAGCUGGUCUGAGAGGAUAACCAGCCACCCGGGAACUGCGACACGUCCCAGACUCCAACGAGAGGCAGCAGUGGGGAAUAUUGCACAAUGGGCGCAAGCCUCAUGCGUCCAUGCAGCGUGUGUGAAGAAGGCCUUCGGGUUGUAAAGAACUUUCAGCGAGGAGGCGUUACUCGCAGAAGAAGCACCGGCUAACUCCGUGCCAGCAGCCGCGGUAAUUC
rnacentral:rRNA from 1 species